rnacentral:misc_RNA from 1 species
AAAGUCGUAACAAGGUUUCCGUAGGUGAACCUGCGGAAGGAUCAUUAUCGUGGGGCUCCGGCCCUGUCGAGAUAGAACCCUUGCCUUUAUGAGUACCUUCUGUUGCCUCGGCGCUCGCUUCAUCGCGGCGCCAAUGGGGCCUUGCCUCGGCGCCUGCCUCGCGGCGGCGCCCACGGGGCCAAACCAAACCAAACCCUUUUAUCAUGAAUCAGUCUGAAAACAAAACAAAAAUUAAAACUUUCAACAACGGAUCUCUUGGUUCUG